GAAAGCGCUUUGGAAUGACACGAUCACUCCCGUUGAGUGGGCACCCAAGAAGCCAUCGGGAAUGUCGUGUCCGCCCAGUGCUCUUUC
ensembl:miRNA MIR425 microRNA 425